AUUAAAGUUGUUGCAGUUAAAAAGCUCGUAGUUGGACUUGUGUGCGCUGUCCGCGGGUGGCCUGCGCCCAAAAGGGCGUUUCGGUUCGGCCCCGGUGGCGCCUUGAAAUCUGCAGCUGGGGGGACGUUGGCCUUAACUGGUCGGCGACCGCACGCCGGCUGCUCGGUUACUGUGAGAAAAUUAGAGUGUUCAAGGCAGGCAUUUGGUGCAAUUGAAUACAUUAGCAUGGAAUAAUAAAAUAUGGCUCCUGCCGUAUUUUGUUGGUUUUGACUGGUGGGAGUAAUGAUUGAUAGGGACGGUUGGGGGUGCUAGUAUUGAGCGGCCAGAGGUGAAAUUCAUGGAUUCGCUCAAGACUAACUUAUGCGAGAGCAUUCACCAAGGACGUCCUCUUUAAUCAAGAACGAAAGUUGGGGGAUCGAAGACGAUCAGAUACCGUCGUAGUCUCAACCAUAAACUAUGUCGACUUGGGAUCGGCGGUAGUUUUUUCAUUAAGACACUGUCGGGACCACGGGAGAAAUCAAAGUGUCUGGACUCUGGGGGAAGUAUGGUCGCAAGGCUGAAACUUGAAGGAAUUGACGGAAGGGCACCACCAGGAGUGGAGCCUGCGGCUUAAUUUGACCCAACACGGGGAAACUUACCAGGUCCAGAGAUAUAGAGGAUUGACAGAUUGAAGCUCUUUCUUGAUCACUUCGGUGGUGGUGCAUGGCCGUUCUUAGUUGGUGGAGUGAUUUGUCUGGUUAAUUCCGUUAACGAACGAGACCUCAGCCUGCUAGUGUAGUCGGCUGGAUUGCCUUUGGCGAUCCGUGAUUUCGACUUCUUAGAGGGACAAUCGACGCGCAGUCGAUGGAAGUUUGAGGCAAUAACAGGUCUGUGAUGCCCUUAGAUGUUCUGGGCCGCACGCGCGCUACACUGCUGGGCUCAGCGAGUUUUACUUGGCCGAGAGGCCCGGUUAAUCUUGUGAAAUCCCAGCGUGCUUGGGCUCGCCUCCUGCAACUGGAGGCGCCAACGAGGAAUUCCUAGUAGACGCAGUUCAUCAACCUGCAUCGAUUACGUCCCUGCCCUUUGUACACACCGCCCGUCGUUCCAUAAGAGUGAGGCAUCCGGUGAAUUCUCGGGGGAGCCUGGGCGUGGCCAGCAAUGGUCUGCUCGGGUUUGAACUUGCAUAAACUUGGUGCCUAUGAUUAGGGAAAAGUCGUAACAAGGUUUCCGUAGGAACCUGCGGAAG
rnacentral:rRNA from 1 species